UUUCCUAUCUCUCCACAGGAGGGUACUGUCUCAAAAGGCAAAAUCCUUCAAGGCAGAGUGUGAGGCUGGAAGAAGGGGAGGGUAGAGAGUGAAUGAUUCAAUUGGCUGCCACACAGAGACCUCUGCCUUUUUACCCAGAUCCAAGUGGGUGGGAAGUGUUACUCUAGUUCAAAAAAGCCUCUUUCAGGAGGGUAUCUUUCAAGGGCAGCUAAAGUCAGUGACCAGGGCCAUCCUGUGACAGGAAGAAAAGAUGCCCCUGAAAUUCUCAGUGCUGAUCCUUUGGAUUCAACUGGCAUGGCAGAGCACCCAGCAACUGGAGCAGAGUCCUCGCUUUCUAAGCAUCCAGGAGGGAGAAAACUUUACUGCGUAUUGCAACUCCACAAGCACGUUUACCAGCUUUCAGUGGUACAGACAGAAGCCUGGGGAAGGUCCAGUCCAUUUGAUGACAUUAUCUAGGAGAGGAGAAAUAAAGAAGCAGAAGAGUCUAGUAGCUCAGUUUGGUGAGGCAAGAAAAGACGGCUCCCUGUUCAUCAUUGCCGCCCAGGCUGAAGAUGCUGCCAUCUACACCUGUGCAGGGGCACAGUGCUCCCAUGGCACCUGGACGCCUGUACCCAAGCCCUACUGCAGGCUCUGUCACGCUGCUGCUGAGUCCGCCCCGCCCCCCACCCGGCCCUUCCUCCCACAUUUCUUGACAUGAACAGUGGUAACAAUCUCAGGCUCUCAUGGAACCAUCUCCACUACCUUUCCAGAUAUUUCCCACAUACACUAAAGAACAAGAUUCCUCUGUCGUGGGAUCACCUUCUAGAAAUGCAUCUCACUAUCUGAACCAGUAAAAAUAUGGGUCUACACCUCCCUGGGGUGGGCAGUGGGGAGAAAAGAAGGGAGUCGAUA